CGUUAGGACCAGUUCUUUUUGACUCCAACAACGCUGCUUUUAAAGUAGAAUUCCUUCGUGAAGAGGGUGAGUUACUUAUUUGCAGAGGGUUUUCUGUUUUAUCGGGGAUGGAUGUUGCGUGGUGUUGAUAGUGAUUCCUGCCGAGUGGGGAUGUUUUAAGUUAUUUGGCAUUAUUGGCUAAGGGCUAAGCUAACUAGCCGCUAUGUGGUCUGUUUAGACGAUAUUAUUGAAGAACUGUCUGUUCUGAG